UACGAAGGGGGCUAGCGUUGCUCGGAAUCACUGGGCGUAAAGGGUGCGUAGGCGGAUCUUUAAGUCAGGGGUGAAAUCCUGGAGCUCAACUCCAGAACUGCCUUUGAUACUGAGGAUCUUGAGUCCGGGAGAGGUGAGUGGAACUCCGAGUGUAGAGGUGAAAUUCGUAGAUAUUCGGAAGAACACCAGUGGCGAAGGCGGCUCACUGGCCCGGUACUGACGCUGAGGUGCGAAAGCAUGGGGAGCGAACAGG
rnacentral:rRNA from 1 species